CGUGUGCUACUGUGAUAGGCUAAUCGAGUCAAAGCACCUCUCCCUUUUGAAUAUAUUCCAUGAUUAAAUCACACUCCUUCAGAGCAUGCAUGAUGGGUCUCCACUGAUAUGAUCCAUAGCCAAGCAUUAACUUAUCUGUAGUCCGUUUUCUUUCAGGUGACAUGGAGGAUGACAGCACUUACAUUGCACCUUCACCACAUCUCACUCAGCCUUAUAGAUAGGCAGGACUCAGCAACCCCAGGCUGCAAAUGACAAUACUGAAUCACAAAAGGAAGAGCAGUCACACCUAACAAGAGCCAAAUUACGCAUACUGGUACAAAGAAGAAAGUGCAGAGAGCAGUCACUGAGCUCUUGAAGCCUCCUUCAAUACAAGGUGGAAAGGGUGAAUGGACACCAGGCUCAUCUCCAUCUACAGCACGAUCAUACUGUUACAUGAUGCAGUGGAGUAUAUUCGAGCGAUGCAAGUGAAGUUCUUUGUGAUCCUGGGAUAGGAAGGGCUGCGGAAACUGCUUUCCUAAGCUUGUUGACAGACACUAAAGGAUUCACACUUCUCUUU